GUCGGUAAGGAUUAAAAGGGAAUCGGGUGUGAAUCCCGAACAGUUCCCGCUGCUGUAAGCUCUUUAACCUCGCAUGCGCGAGGCCGUUCGGCACUCUUGCGGCCACUGAUUUUCUAAUCGGGAAGGCCGGCCGUAACGGGAGACGAGUCAGAAGACCUGCCUUUUGCGUU
rnacentral:ncRNA from 1 species